CUUUUAAAGGAUAGUAGCUAUCCAUUGACUUUAGGCG
rnacentral:tRNA from 1 species